rnacentral:rRNA from 1 species
CCGUGAAUCCGCAUCGUUCGAGCAAGUCCAGCCCCGUGCGCGAGUGGCGUUUGUCGUCUGGAACCCUCGUGACCUCCUAAUCCCAUCCGAAAUCCUCACUUUGUCUUAAGCCAAAUAAAAAUAAAAUCAGUCCUCCCGAUUCCCAUUUGCCCCCCGCUCGAUCCAGCGCUGCCGAAUUCGUGCCGAGCUUGGGGUGCUGCCGAUUGAGUUCUGAUCCGGCGGCGUGCGGCGUUGGAGUGCCCCUGGUUCGGAAGCGGCGAGGGCCAUGCGAAUUGAGUCUCUGCUGUGCUGAGCAUGAAGGGUGGGAGAGCUAAAGGCCUGGGUGAUGGGAUCGCCGGAGGGGCGCCUCGUUGAGUUGUUGGGAGCAGUCAAGUCGCGGAUGCCGCGGCGGGGAGAGCACUCGCCGCCGCCUGCGCCGAAGGCUGCUGCUGCUGCCGAUGUGCUACAGGCGCAGCCGCAUGACUUGUCCAGAGACUUCUGGAUGCCGGACCAAAGUUGCCGGGUGUGUUACGACUGCGAUGCCCAGUUCACCAUCCUUAAUCGGCGUCACCACUGCCGCCACUGCGGCCGCGUGUUCUGUGCCCGUUGCACGGCCAACUCUGUGCCCCGCUCGCCGGGCGACGCGGCGCGGGAGGACAUCGAGCGGAUCAGGGUCUGCAACUACUGCUUCAAGCGCUGGCUGGAGGAGGAGGCGGCCACUCGGAGGGAUGUGGCGCAGCUGUCGAGCCCGUCGCCGUCGGCCACGAGUGCGGGGAACGAAAAGUCAUGUUCCACCGGGCGUAGCAGCACGGUGACCAACGGCCAGUUGUUGUCUUACGCGAAUGUCAGCUGCACUGACUCUGCAUCACGGUCGGUGGGCAGCGAGGGCAACUGCGGCGAGCUCGAUGCUUCUCUGGAGUUGCAGCAUGCUGUGAUGGAGCCGGAUGGGGCCAUGGAGCAUGCGGCUUAUGUGGACAAUUCGCCUGAUCCAUUCAACUUCUGCUUGAAUAGGAGUGAUGAUGAAGAUGACGACUACACAAUUUUCCGCUCUGAUUCGGAAGUACACCACCUACAAAACUCUGAUGAGUACAAUGGGCCUAUGUGUUUUGAUGAUCAUCAAGUUGUUUGCAAUGAUGCUGCUAAAGAUUCUGCAUCACCAAGAAAAGAUACAGCAACCUUAGUUAAUUCUGAGGGAAUGGAUAAGACUGGUGAUCAUAUCAUUGAUAAUGCUGAGGAGUGCAAUGCUCGAUCUUCUUCGUUGUAUGGCAUGGAAGUGCUAGAAAAUGAACUUGUGGAUUUUGAAAACAAUAGCUCACUUUGGCUACCUCCAGAAGCCGAGGAUGAAGAGGAUGACCAUGAUGGUGCUCCAUGUGAUGAUGAGGAGGGAGAGGAUGCCACAGGAGAAUGGGGUUAUCUACGCUCAAACAGCUUCAGCAGUGGACAUUGUCGAAGUAGAGAUAAAUCUGCUGAGGAACACAAGAAAGCCAUGAAAGAUAUUGUUGAUGGGCAUUUUCGGGCAUUGGUGGCCCAACUUCUUCAAGCUGAAAAGAUAGAAUUGGGUGAUAAAAUUGGCAAUGAGAGUUGGCUAGAUAUAGUUACCUCCUUGUCUUGGGAAGCCGCAUCUCUUUUGAGACCAGAUACCAGCAAAGGAGGACGUAUGGACCCUGGUGGCUAUGUAAAGGUGAAAUGCUUGGCUUGUGGCCGUCCAAGUGACAGCUUGGUUGUAAGAGGAGUUGUUUGUAAGAAGAAUGUUGCUCAUCGGCGCAUGUCAACAAAGAAGGAAAAGCCACGAAUCCUAAUUCUUGGUGGUGCACUUGAAUAUCAGCGUGUAUCGAAUUUGCUUUCAAGUUUUGAUACCUUACUGCAGCAGGAAACGGAUUAUCUGAAAAUGGCAGUUGUAAAGAUCAAAGCGCACCAACCAAGUGUUGUAUUGGUAGAGAAAUCUGUGUCUCGUUAUGCUCAGGAUUUGUUUCUGGAGAAAAACAUUUCACUUGUUUUGAAUAUCAGAAGACCACUUCUGGAACGGAUAUCCCGUUGCACUGGUGCUCAGAUAGUUCCCUCUAUUGAUUAUCUGUCAUCCCAAAAGCUCGGGAAUUGUGACUUAUUCCAUGUGGAGAAGUAUAUUGAAGAGCAUGGGACUGCUGGAGAAGGUGGGAAGAAAAUGCUGAAGACCCUUAUGUUUUUUGAAGGCUGUCCAAAGCCCUUGGGUUUUACAAUCUUGCUAAAAGGAGCUAAUGGGGAUGAGUUGAAAAAAGUGAAGCAUGUUGUGCAAUAUGGAGUCUUCGCAGCCUAUCACUUGGCUCUUGAAACAUCUUUUCUUGUAGAUGAAGGUGCAACCCUGCCAGAACUCCCUCUUAAGUCGCCGAUUAUUGUUGCUUUGCCGGACAAACCUUCCAGUGCUGAUAGAUCCAUUUCAACGAUACCUAUUUUGCAAAUGCCUACUAUUUCAUCACCCAACAACAACCUGCAAGCAUUUGAUAUUCAAAAGGAUGACUUUACAUUCAAUGGUUUUAAAAUGAUGGACCAAAUGGCUGCAGCAUCCUUCCCUGAUAGCAAAUGCUGGGAAAGAUUGGGAGUUGGUUCUACCCAAGCAUCAUCAGUUCAAAUCAAUGACCAAACUGGAGACAUUGGCUGUUUGCUUGGUAUGGACCCUCAAUCAUAUAAUGAUCCUCUGGUUCAGCAGUCGAGAAUUUCAUUCUGCCAGUGUCCUGCUUGUACUAGAGAUGUUGGCAGCAAAAUGAAAUUUGAAGAACUCCAGCCUGAAACCAAUAGACAUCCACUGGCUAAUGGCCUGAGUGUGUUGCCUGCUCAUCCUGCAAAUUUGGUGGCUGCUGAAAGUGAUCUUUCAUUUGCCCAUAACGCCAACAAUGGUGCCAAGGUAGCGGCUAAGCCAUCUGCUCCUCUCAACUUACAAGUUUCUUAUAAUAAUGUCAGUUCAAAUGACGGUUCAAUAGUAAAAAGGGAUGAAAUUCCAGCAUCCCCUGCCGACAACCAGAGUAUAUUAGUUUCUCUGUCCUCGCGUUGUGUUUGGAAAGAAGCUAUAUGUGAGCGGCCACACCUUCUUCGCAUAAAAUAUUAUGGUAACUUUGACAAACCUUUAGGCAGGUUUUUGCGUGACCAGCUAUUUGAUCAGAGCAAUUGUUGUCUCUCUUGUGAGCUGGCACCAGAGGCCCAUGUUUAUUGCUAUGUUCACCCCCAAGGCAGCUUAACAAUAUCAGUGCGGAAACUCAUAGUGAAGUUACCUGGUGAACAUGAUGGUAAAAUCUGGAUGUGGCAUAGAUGCUUACGCUGUCCGCGCGAUAAAGGGCUCCCUCCAGCAACUAAAAGAGUAGUGAUGUCUGAUGCUGCCUGGGGCUUAUCUUUUGGUAAAUUUUUGGAACUUAGUUUUUCAAAUCAUGCAGCAGCAAGUAGGGUAGCCAGCUGUGGUCAUUCUCUUCACAGGGACUGCCUUCGUUUUUAUGGUUUCGGUGAAAUGGUUGCUUGCUUCCGAUACGCAUCAAUCAAGGUUCACUCAGUCUAUUUGCCUCCGUCGAAACUUGAUUUUACUUCCCAGCAUCAGGAAUGGGUAGAGCAAGAAGCAAAUGAGGUGGUUGAUUCAGCUGAACUCCUGUUCACUGAAGUACUGAAUGCACUCCAUCAAAUUUCAGAGAAAAGGCCAAUUACAGGCUCUUUUGAUGGCAACAUGAAGAUCCUUGAGUUAAGACAAAACAUAGUAGAGUUGGAAGAUAUCCUACAAGCAGAGAAGGUUGAUUUCACGGAGUCACUAAAGAAUCUACUGAAAAGGGAAAUCAGAAAGGGGCAGUUAUUCAUUGAUAUUCUUGAAGUUAACAAACUAAGGAGGCAGCUACUAUUUCUUUGUUACUUGUGGGAUCAACGCCUAAGUUUCAUAGCAACCUCAGGUGGCAAGUAUUGCGCUGCUCUUGGAAGUCUACGAGUUGGAAGUAAUAAUUCUGAAAUCAAUGAUCGAUCAGCUGAUACCAAUACAAACACAAAGUUGGAGAAGAACUCAAAGGGCACCGAUUCAAAUGCACUUUACGCUGGUGAUGAGGGGACCAACCAGCAUGAUCAAUCUAAUGAAACUUGCUCGAGAAAUACUGAAGAGUUGAAUGGUGCUGAAGAUACAAUAGUUGAAAUAAAUCAUGCAAAUAGCGCUAAUGUCAGGGGUCAUUUAGAUCAUCAAGGAUCGAUUAACGGCGUUCGUAGGGUUUCUUCUGAAGGUCAGUUCCCAGUAGCUACUGACAUUUCAGAUAAACUGGGUGCAAAAUGGAGAGGUGAGGAUGGAUCUGCUCCUGAUGCAAGCCUGGUGAAACCACUAGCUCUGUUACAAGGUACAGCUGCUGAUGUGAAAAAACAAGCAAAGGCAGUACCACGCCACACUUCUGCAUCUGUCAGGUCUGGGGAUACAGUAGAAGACUUGCUAAGCUGCCUUAAAAUGCCAUACAUGACAUUUUAUAAUUCAUUGAACACAAACUCUGGCACAGCACCGACAUUUGGAACCUUGGCCGACUACAAUCCUGUAUACAUUUCAUUGUUUCGCGAUCUAUCACAGCAAGGUGGAGCAAGACUUUUUCUGCCAACUGGAGCUAAUGAUGUUGUUAUCCCGGUAUUUGAUGAUGAACCGACUAGUAUUAUUUCUUAUGCACUUGUUUCACCUGUGUAUCACUUUCAAAUGUCAGUUGAGAGCAAUCAAAAUAAAGACAGUGCAGAUUCUACACUUUCGUUGCCUGUUUAUGAUUCAGGAAAUUUUAACCUGUUCCAUUUAUUUGAGGAUUUUGGAUCCUCUGAUGAUUUUGCUUCAUCGAUAUCUUCCAGUAGAGGGUCCUUUGCUCCUGAUCUACUGCACUCCAGAGUUUCUUUUCAAGAUGGUGGGCCACUUGGGAAAGUUAAAUGCACUGUGACAUGCUAUUAUGCAAAAAGCUUUGAAGAACUCAGAAGGUCUUGUUGUCCAUCGGAGCUUGAUUAUUUAAGAUCUAUCAGUCGAUGCAAGAAAUGGGGAGCACAAGGUGGCAAAAGUAAUGUGUUCUUUGCAAAAUCUCUGGAUGAUAGAUUUAUUAUAAAGCAGGUCACAAAAACAGAGCUUGAAUCAUUCCUUCAGUUCGGCCCAGAUUAUUUUAAGUAUUUGUCAGAGUCCAUAAGCACUGGAAGCCCUACAUGCCUUGCAAAGAUUCUGGGAAUCUAUCAGGUUACAAUUAAGCAUCUGAAAGGUGGCAAGGAAUCAAAAAUGGAUUUGCUUGUGAUGGAAAAUCUCUUAUUUGGACGGAAUAUUACGAGGCUUUAUGAUCUCAAGGGAUCUUCAAGGUCAAGGUAUAAUGCAGACUCCAGCAGGAACAAGGUCCUGCUUGACCAGAACUUAAUUGAGGCAAUGCCAACGUCGCCAAUUUUUGUCGGGAACAAGGCGAAGCGCCUUCUUGAAAGAGCUGUUUGGAACGACACUUCUUUUCUAGCAGGAAUUGAUGUAAUGGAUUAUUCCUUGCUUGUGGGUGUUGAUGAGGAGAAACAUGAGCUUGUCCUGGGAAUAAUUGAUUUCAUGAGGCAGUAUACAUGGGACAAGCACCUUGAAACAUGGGUCAAAUCUUCUGGCAUUCUAGGUGGGCCUAAGAAUGCCGCUCCAACUGUUGUCUCACCGAUGCAGUACAAGAAGCGGUUUAGGAAAGCAAUGUCUGCUUAUUUUAUUGUGAUUCCUGAGCAAUGGAUGCCUGCAAUAAUCAAUCCAGACCAGUCCUCGUCAAAUAUUUGUGAAGACGAUUCUCAAAAUGCUUCACCAGAGUAGCAUGGCGCUCGGUGUGUUAAUGAUGGAUGGGGGUUGCCGGAUUUGGUCCUACUGCAGUCAUGAGAAAUGAUUAAUUUGGUACUCGGCCGGCAUUGAAAUGAUCUUCAGGCUGGGCACUGUAUUCUCCUGUGGUCAUUUGCACAGAUCAGAUUGCACUCGCCGGUUUCCAUCUAAUAUAAAAAGAAACCAUCACAUGUGUAUAUUCUUGCGACUGCAAUUGUGAUUAGUUUUGCCUGUGUUGCCUAUAUGGUACAUAUAUCAAGUGUAAGUGCCUUCUCGUGUCUUGUAGGUGGUUUCCAUUUUGGCUAGAUGUGAACAGAAAUUUGGGCCUUUUUCUUUUGCACAAGUGGUUGUUGUGUGUCUGUUGAUUUUUAGAGGGGCUAUCGCCGUCUGUGGUGUAUAUAAUAACAAAAUAAAAGUCGAGUUAGUGCUAAUGCCCCGUGUCAAGAUUCCUAUGCCAACAAGCUGUGGAGAACAUAUACACGUCAGAACAUGGCUCCGCGGGAGGCCAAAAUCACUGUUUUGACCAUUU